AGAGUUUGAUCCUGGCUCAGGACGAACGCUGGCGGCGUGCUUAACACAUGCAAGUCGUACGGGAUCAUUCUGCUUUCGGGUGGGGUGGUUUAGUGGCGAACGGGUGAGUAACACGUGAGCAACCUGCCUUUGACUCUGGGAUAACCUUCGGAAACGGGGGCUAAUACUGGAUAGGACUGUCUGCCGCAUGGUGGGUGGUGGAAAGGGUUUUCUGGUCAGGGAUGGGCUCGCGGCCUAUCAGCUGGUUGGUGGGGUGAUGGCCUACCAAGGCGACGACGGGUAGCCGGCCUGAGAGGGCGACCGGCCACACUGGGACUGAGACACGGCCCAGACUCCUACGGGAGGCAGCAGUGGGGAAUAUUGCGCAAUGGGCGGAAGCCUGACGCAGCGACGCCGCGUGGGGGAUGGAGGCCUUCGGGUUGUAAACCUCUUUCAGCGCCGAAGAAGCUUUUGGGUGACGGUAGGCGCAGAAGAAGCACCGGGCUAACUACGUACCAGCAGCCGCGGUAAUACGUAGGGUGCAAGCGUUGUCCGGAAUUAUUGGGCGUAAAGAGCUCGUAGGCGGUUUGUCGCGUCUGCUGUGAAAACCUGGGGCUUAACUUCGGGCUGGCAGUGGGUACGGGCAGACUGGAGUGCGGUAGGGGAGACUGGAAUUCCUGGUGUAGCGGUGAAAUGCGCAGAUAUCAGGAGGAACACCGGUGGCGAAGGCGGGUCUCUGGGCCGUAACUGACGCUGAGGAGCGAAAGCGUGGGGAGCGAACAGGAUUAGAUACCCUGGUAGUCCACGCUGUAAACGUUGGG
rnacentral:rRNA from 1 species